GCGGGGCAGCUCCGGGCCGGAGAGAGCCGGGAGCGGGGCAGCUCCGGGCCGGAGAGAGCCGGGUGCCCUCGGGACGCACUUUUGGCAGUGGGGUCCAGGGUGGCCCUGCUGGAGCAGGGGGAUUGGACCGCCGCCCCCUCCAGCAUGAAGCGUUCUGUGACCACAAAGAACAUCUGAGUCUCAUCGCUUUUGCGACUACCUUAAAACAGAGGGCAGACAAAAUUAAGAGAAUAAAAAGCAGUUAUAUUUGUUGAAGGGCCUCCAGGUGCAUUAGAGCAGACGGAGCUCCCUCAGGAGCUACGCCCAAAAAUGGACCACGCGUCACAAGUUUUCAUACUUUGAUACGUUUGAUCCCUUUGCAUAUUGGGGUUUAAUCUUCCAGUUACAGCUUCAGGGUAUCCAGGCUCCUGAAAGAAUACCUAGACCAAAAGGAUUGCAAAGUUUGAGUGUUCAAAGUCCAAAGGAAAACAAAGUGAGCCUGGUCCAAAUGGAAACUGUGGAAUUUCAGAAACUGUGGGAUUUUAGGGACUGCCAGGAAGUAAAGUGAAUCUGUUGUAAACAGUUA